AUCUUCAAUCAAACUGUUUCUCUCUCACCAAAGGAAGCGCUCUGCACCGAACUGAUUUAAUAGUAGAACCUCCUGAAAUAGCUCUCACUGGUGAAACAUAAGCUAAAACAAAAGCAGCAACAAUGAAAACCCACUGCAAUCGGGGCUUUGAAGAGCUAUCAGGGCAGCCAGAGGUAAGAAGCCAAGACUCCAAACAGAAGAGGAACUCAUUGAGAUGAGUGUCACUGUUUGGGCCACUUUUCCCUUGAGCUGUGCAUCUACUUUUCCUAAGCAAAAUGUUUUUGUCAACACUCUUGAAAAGUCCCAAUCUGGUUAACAUUCUCCUCGAAUGGUCAUCAAACCAUCACAAUGGGUGAUGGUGGCAUAUUCAUCGUAUCAUUCAAUGUAUUGUCAUGUGCAAAUAAAUGAAUUACCAAUAUGUGCAACAGCUUAGAUAUUUAUCAAUUUUGAAUAAGUAACCCAAAAAGUAUGCAC